GCGAACGCUGGCGGCAGGCCUAACACAUGCAAGUCGAACGAACUCUUCGGAGUUAGUGGCGGACGGGUGAGUAACACGUGGGAACGUGCCUUUUGGUUCGGAAUAACUCAGGGAAACUUGUGCUAAUACCGAAUGUGCCCUUCGGGGGAAAGAUUUAUCGCCAUUAGAGCGGCCCGCGUCUGAUUAGCUAGUUGGUGAGGUAACGGCUCACCAAGGCGACGAUCAGUAGCUGGUCUGAGAGGAUGACCAGCCACACUGGGACUGAGACACGGCCCAGACUCCUACGGGAGGCAGCAGUGGGGAAUCUUGCGCAAUGGGCGAAAGCCUGACGCAGCCAUGCCGCGUGAAUGAUGAAGGUCUUAGGAUUGUAAAAUUCUUUCACCGGGGACGAUAAUGACGGUACCCGGAGAAGAAGCCCCGGCUAACUUCGUG
rnacentral:rRNA from 1 species